UACAGGGGGUGCAAACGUUGCUCGGAAUUAUUGGGCGUAAAGCGCGCUUAGGCGGCCGCUUAAGUCGGAUGUGAAAGCCCCUGGCUCAACUGGGGAAGUGCACCCGAAACUGAGUGGCUUGAGUACUAAAGAGGGUCGCGGAAUUCCCGGUGUAGAGGUGAAAUUCGUAGAUAUCGGGAGGAACACCGGUGGCGAAGGCGGCGACCUGGGUAGAUACUGACGCUGAGGCGCGAAAGCGUGGGGAUCGAACAGG
rnacentral:rRNA from 1 species